rnacentral:rRNA from 3 species
GAGUAAUGUCUGGGAAACUGCCUGAUGGAGGGGGAUAACUACUGGAAACGGUGGCUAAUACCGCAUAACGUCGCAAGACCAAAGAGGGGGACCUUCGGGCCUCUUGCCAUCAGAUGUGCCCAGAUGGGAUUAGCUUGUUGGUGAGGUAACGGCUCACCAAGGCGACGAUCCCUAGCUGGUCUGAGAGGAUGACCAGCCACACUGGAACUGAGACACGGUCCAGACUCCUACGGGAGGCAGCAGUGGGGAAUAUUGCACAAUGGGCGCAAGCCUGAUGCAGCCAUGCCGCGUGUAUGAAGAAGGCCUUCGGGUUGUAAAGUACUUUCAGCGGGGAGGAAGGUGUUGUGGUUAAUAACCGCAGCAAUUGACGUUACCCGCAGAAGAAGCACCGGCUAACUCCGUGCCAGCAGCCGCGGUAAUACGGAGGGUGCAAGCGUUAAUCGGAAUUACUGGGCGUAAAGCGCACGCAGGCGGUCUGUCAAGUCGGAUGUGAAAUCCCCGGGCUCAACCUGGGAACUGCAUUCGAAACUGGCAGGCUUGAGUCUUGUAGAGGGGGGUAGAAUUCCAGGUGUAGCGGUGAAAUGCGUAGAGAUCUGGAGGAAUACCGGUGGCGAAGGCGGCCCCCUGGACAAAGACUGACGCUCAGGUGCGAAAGCGUGGGGAGCAAACAGGAUUAGAUACCCUGGUAGUCCACGCCGUAAACGAUGUCUACUUGGAGGUUGUGCCCUUGAGGCGUGGCUUCCGGAGCUAACGCGUUAAGUAGACCGCCUGGGGAGUACGGCCGCAAGGUUAAAACUCAAAUGAAUUGACGGGGGCCCGCACAAGCGGUGGAGCAUGUGGUUUAAUUCGAUGCAACGCGAAGAACCUUACCUGGUCUUGACAUCCACGGAAGUUUUCAGAGAUGAGAAUGUGCCUUCGGGAACCGUGAGACAGGUGCUGCAUGGCUGUCGUCAGCUCGUGUUGUGAAAUGUUGGGUUAAGUCCCGCAACGAGCGCAACCCUUAUCCUUUGUUGCCAGCGGUUAGGCCGGGAACUCAAAGGAGACUGCCAGUGAUAAACUGGAGGAAGGUGGGGAUGACGUCAAGUCAUCAUGGCCCUUACGACCAGGGCUACACACGUGCUACAAUGGCGCAUACAAAGAGAAGCGACCUCGCGAGAGCAAGCGGACCUCAUAAAGUGCGUCGUAGUCCGGAUUGGAGUCUGCAACUCGACUCCAUGAAGUCGGAAUCGCUAGUAAUCGUGGAUCAGAAUGCCACGGUGAAUACGUUCCCGGGCCUUGUACACACCGCCCGUCACACCAUGGGAGUGGGUUGCAAAAGAAGUAGGUAGCUUAACCUUCGGGAGGGCGCUUACCACUUUGUGAUUCAUGACUGGGGUGAAGUCGUAACAAGGUAACCGUAGGGGAACCUGCGGUUGGA